rnacentral:rRNA from 1 species
GGUUAAGCGACUAAGCGUACACGGUGGAUGCCCUGGCAGUCAGAGGCGAUGAAGGACGUGCUAAUCUGCGAUAAGCGUCGGUGAGGUGAUAUGAACCGUUAUAACCGGCGAUUUCCGAAUGGGGAAACCCAGUGUGUUUCGACACACUAUCAUUAACUGAAUCCAUAGGUUAAUGAGGCGAACCGGGGGAACUGAAACAUCUAAGUACCCC